rnacentral:rRNA from 1 species
AUGGCUCUCGCGGCGAAGCCGAGUUCCGGCGACCAGGCCAGAGGCGCACCGCAUCUCGUCUUCAUCCCGAGCGCCGGCAUGGGCCACAUCCACCCUUUCUCCCGCUUCAUCGCCGCCCUCGCGAGCCAAGGCGCCGUCGACAUCUCCGUCGUGAUCGCGCUCCCGACGGUCUCCGAGGCCGAGGCGGACCACUUCGCCGCCCUCUUCGCGACUUUCCCCGCCGUCCGGCGCAUCGACUUCAACCUCCUGCCGCUGGACGACGCCACCCUUGCCGGCACGGACCCCUUCCUCCUGCGGUGGGAGUCCCUUCGCCGCUCCGCCCACCUCCUCGGCCCGCUCAUCGACGGCGCCGCGCCGCGUGCGUCCGCCAUAGUCACGGACGUCACCCUGGCUUCCCAGGUCAUCCCCGUGGCUAAGAACGAGCUGCGGCUCCCGUGCCACAUCCUCUUCAUCUCAUGCGCGACCAUGAUGUCCUUCCUCGCCUACUUCCCCACCUACGUCGACGGCGCCAACACGGAUCACCUCACCGGCGACGUCGACGUCCCCGGCAUUGGACGCCUCCCGGUCGAUUACCCCCCGCAGGUGCUGCGCGACCCGGACAACCUCUUCACCAAGCAGUUCAUCGCCAACGGCCGCGAGAUCGCCGAGGCAGACGGCAUUCCUCCUCAACACCCGGCGCGCUCGGUUGUGUACGUGGCCUUCGGCAACCGCAACGCGGCCGCCCUGGAGCAGAUCCGCGAGAUCGGCGCCGGGCUGGAGGCGAGCGGCUGCCGGUUCCUGUGGGUGGUGAAGACGACGGUGGUGGACCGCGACGACACGGCGGAGCUGAACGACGUGCUGGACGACGGGUUCCUGGGGCGCGUGCAUGGGCGCGGCCUGGUGAUCAAGGAGUGGGUGGACCAGGAGGCGGUCCUGGGGCACCCGGCCGUGGGGUUGUACGUGAGCCACUGCGGGUGGAACUCGGUGACGGAGUCGGCCGCGUGCGGAGUGCCGAUGCUGGCGUGGCCGAUGACGCUGGGCGACCAACGCCUGGUGGCAACGGUGAUCAGGAGCGCCGGCUUCGGGCUGUGGCUGGAGCACUGGAGCUGGGACAGGGAGAGCUCGCUGGUGCGCGCGGCGGAGAUAGCGGAGAAGGUGAAGGCGGUAAUGGGCGACGAGGCGAUCUCGGCGAGGGCUAAGGAGGUCGGCCGGGAGGCGACCAAAGCCGUCGCCCCGGGCGGCUCCAGCCACCGGAGCAUGCAGGAGUUCCUUGCCACACUCGGGUCACUGCACUUUUACCGGGGGCUGCUGAUCGUAAUGAGAGUAUCAUAG